rnacentral:rRNA from 1 species
UUCUGGCUCAGGACGAACGCUGGCGGCGUGCCUAACACAUGCAAGUCGAGCGAUGAAGUCUCGGAACGGAUAGCGGCGGACGGGUGAGUAACACGUGGGUAACCUGCCUUGUAGAGGGGGAUAGCCUUCCGAAAGGAAGAUUAAUACCGCAUAACAUCUUUUUAUCGCAUGGUAGAAAGAUCAAAGGAGCAAUCCGCUACAAGAUGGACCCGCGGCGCAUUAGCUAGUUGGUGAGGUAACGGCUCACCAAGGCGACGAUGCGUAGCCGACCUGAGAGGGUGAUCGGCCACAUUGGAACUGAGACACGGUCCAGACUCCUACGGGAGGCAGCAGUGGGGAAUAUUGCGCAAUGGGGGGAAAAACCCCUGACGCAGCAACGCCGCGUGAAUGAAGAAGGCCUUAGGGUUGUAAAGUUCUGUUUACGGGGACGAUAAUGACGGUACCCGUGGAGGAAGCCACGGCUAACUACGUGCCAGCCGCUGC